rnacentral:rRNA from 15 species
CCCAGUAAACGGCGGCCGUAACAAUAACGGUCCUAAGGUAGCGAAAUUCCUUGUCGGGUAAGUUCCGACCUGCACGAAUGGCGUAACGACUUCCCCGCUGUCUCAACCGCGAACUCGGCGAAAUUGCACUACGAGUAAAGAUGCUCGUUACGCGCAGCAGGACGGAAAGACCCCGGGACCUUCACUAUAGCUUGGUAUUGGUGUUCGGGACGGCUUGUGUAGGAUAGGUGGGAGACUUUGAAGCAGGGACGCUAGUUCAUGUGGAGUCAUUGUUGAAAUACCACUCUGGUCACUCUGGAUAUCUAACUUAGAACCGUAAUCCGGUUCAGGGACAGUGCCUGAUGGGUAGUUUAACUGGGGCGGUUGCCUCCUAAAGAGUAACGGAGGCGCCCAAAGGUUCCCUCAACCUGGUUGGCAAUCAGGUGGCGAGUGUAAGUGCACAAGGGAGCUUGACUGUGAGACUGACAGGUCGAGCAGGGACGAAAGUCGGGACUAGUGAUCCGGCAGUGGCUUGUGGAAGCGCUGUCGCUCAACGGAUAAAAGGUACCCCGGGGAUAACAGGCUGAUCUUGCCCAAGAGUCCAUAUCGACGGCAUGGUUUGGCACCUCGAUGUCGGCUCGUCGCAUCCUGGGGCUGGAGUAGGUCCCAAGGGUUGGGCUGUUCGCCCAUUAAAGCGGUACGCGAGCUGGGUUUAGAACGUCGUGAGACAGUUCGGUCCCUAUCUACCGUGGGCGCUGGAAAUUUGAGAGGAUCUGCUCCUAGUACGAGAGGACCAGAGUGGACAAACCUCUGGUGUACCGGUUGUCACGCCAGUGGCAUCGCCGGGUAGCUAUGUUCGGAAGGGAUAACCGCUGAAAGCAUCUAAGCGGGAAGCCUACCUCAAGAUAAGAUUUCCCAAGGACUUUAUGUCCUCUAAAGAGCCGUUGAAGA